CAACCCUCAAGCUCAGCUUGGUAUUGGGUAUCACCUAGCAAAUGGUGUACCUCAAAAUCAGUGGCGGUGCCCAUCUGGCUUCAAGCGUAGUAACUUUCUCGCUCUGGAGGUUGGAUGAGUGGCUUGCCAUCAACUCCUAAUUUAUCAUAA
rnacentral:misc_RNA from 1 species